rnacentral:rRNA from 1 species
CCUACGGGGGGCAGCAGUGGGGGAUAUUUCACAAUUUUUUAAACCCUUAUCCCUCUCCUCCUCUUUUUUGAAGACUUUCCUCUUUAUUUUAAACCACUGUCCCCAGGGACGAAGAUGACGGUACCUGGGGAGGAAGCUCCGGCUAACUACGUGCCAGCAGCCGCGGUAAUACGUAGGGAGCGAGCGUUGUCCGGAAUUACUGGGUGUAAAGGGAGCGUAGGCGGGGAUGCAAGUUGGGUGUCAAAACUACCGGCUCAACUGGUAGUCGCACUCAAAACUGCAGCUCUUGAGUGAAGUAGAGGCAGGCGGAAUUCCUAGUGUAGCGGUGAAAUGCGUAGAUAUUAGGAGGAACACCAGUGGCGAAGGCGGCCUGCUGGGCUUUUACUGACGCUGAGGCUCGAAAGUGUGGGGAGCAAACAGGAUUAGAUACCCUUGUAGUC